GCUCAUCCAAUUGCAGGGCGGCACGCACCAGGAACAUUCAGGUUCUAUUUAUGAACACAGGAUGCAUUUUGAAAAGGACAAAGCAUUAGCUCGACGAUUCCAACCUGUGUUGAUUGGUCCCAAGCCCGGGUAAGGGAGGAGGGAAAAGGGCGUUAAGAUCAAUCUGAGGCCAUGACAAUGCCAAGAACAACCACCUAGUGACUUCUCUAAUGCUCAGUUCUGGUUUCUGGAGUGACUACUUGUUGUCCAUGGGCACUAGUGCUAUAAGAGGAUUACCCAAAUGG